UCCAUUCCAAGAGAUUUUAGAUUAUCAUGUUAUCAUCUGAACUUAGAAAUUAAACCAUAAAUUAUAUGAGAACUUUUAUUGCAUCAUGCCAGUUAACAUGCUUUGGUGAUUAUGCACCAAAGCCCUCAACUAUGACUCUUUCUUAAAAGAGAAGUGACGUAGAUAUGGGUCAAGAGCUUUCGGAUCCGGCUUCGAUCUCUGGCACGAAGUAUUAUCCGUUCUGACUAGGUUCGGAUCGGAAGCAUGUCUGAUGGUCUCCACUGGGGUGGUCUCCGGCGCCACACGUGGCGGCCUCAUAGUUUUGUCCUUCUUUCGUGGGAAAAGGCAUCUCGUGAGGGAAGAGGGUCCUCUGGGCUACUUAAGGUCAUAGACACUUUUGACUUAUCCGAUGUGGAACUUUCGAGGUUCGACCUACUCUUGACUUAUCCGAUGUGGGACUUUCGAGGUUCGACCUCCCGAGGUCUACCCACAACACAGCCCCCAGUCAAGAGGAUACUGUGACAGGUAGGGGCUGGAUUCCCACAGACGGCCCCAAUGAUGUGGAUAUAGAUCAAGAGCUUUCGAGUCUGGCUCCGAUCUCUGGCACGAAGUAUUGUCCGCUCUGGUUAGAUCCGGGCCGAAAGCGUGCCCGAUGAUCUCCAUUGGGGUGGUCUCCGACACCACAUGUAGCGGCCUCACGGUUUUGUCCUUCUUCCGUGGAAAAAGGUGCCUUGUGAGGGAAGAGGGUCCCCUGAGCUACUUAAGGCCAUAGAUAUUCUUGAUUUAUCCGAUGUGGGAUUUUCGAAGUUCGAUCUCCCGAGGCCUACCCACAAUAAGAAGAAAAAUAUCAAAUAUAUCUAGGCUUUCUAAAAUGUUGUAAGCAUUCAUGGAAAUGACAUGAGAUUCUAGAGAAAUUCAUAUUUUCUAUUAUUUCAAGAGAUAAGUACAAUAAUUUUUGUUGGAUUUAGAUAAAUAGAAUGACUUAAAUUUAGCAUGGUGAGUUGUUUAUCAGGUCUUCCUUAUA
rnacentral:lncRNA from 1 species